rnacentral:tRNA from 1 species
GGGGCCGUGCCGUACCCGUCACCGGCGGCGGCCGUCUCCCGGACGGCGGCGGGGCCGUUCUGCGCGGCGCUGCCCUG